GGAGCUGUGCCCGAGCCUGAAAGGGACCACUUUGAUAAGGUGUACCACGGGGGUUAAAUUCCCUCCAUCUCCA
rnacentral:tRNA from 2 species